UGCAAGUCGAGGGGCAGCAUGGCCUUUGAAUGCUAAGGCCGAUGGCGACCGGCGCACGGGUGAGUAACACGUAUCCAACCUGCCGUCUACUCUUGGACAGCCUUCUGAAAGGAAGAUUAAUACAAGAUGGCAUCAUGAGUCCGCAUGUUCACAUGAUUAAAGGUAUUCCGGUAGACGAUGGGGAUGCGUUCCAUUAGAUAGUAGGCGGGGUAACGGCCCACCUAGUCUUCGAUGGAUAGGGGUUCUGAGAGGAAGGUCCCCCACAUUGGAACUGAGACACGGUCCAAACUCCUACGGGAGGCAGCAGUGAGGAAUAUUGGUCAAUGGGCGAGAGCCUGAACCAGCCAAGUAGCGUGAAGGAUGACUGCCCUAUGGGUUGUAAACUUCUUUUAUAAAGGAAUAAAGUCGGGUAUGCAUACCCGUUUGCAUGUACUUUAUGAAUAAGGAUCGGCUAACUCCGUGCCAGCAGCCGCGGUAAUACGGAGGAUCCGAGCGUUAUCCGGAUUUAUUGGGUUUAAAGGGAGCGUAGAUGGAUGUUUAAGUCAGUUGUGAAAGUUUGCGGCUCAACCGUAAAAUUGCAGUUGAUACUGGAUAUCUUGAGUGCAGUUGAGGCAGGCGGAAUUCGUGGUGUAGCGGUGAAAUGCUUAGAUAUCACGAAGAACUCCGAUUGCGAAGGCAGCCUGCUAAGCUGCAACUGACAUUGAGGCUCGAAAGUGUGGGUAUCAAACAGGAUUAGAUACCCUGGUAGUCCACACGGUAAACGAUGAAUACUCGCUGUUUGCGAUAUACGGCAAGCGGCCAAGCGAAAGCGUUAAGUAUUCCACCUGGGGAGUACGCCGGCAACGGUGAAACUCAAAGGAAUUGACGGUGGCCCGCACAGGCGGAGGAACAUGUGGUUUAAUUCGAUGAUACGCGAGGAACCUUACCCGGGCUUAAAUUGCAGAUGAAUUACGGUGAAAGCCGUAAGCCGCAAGGCAUCUGUGAAGGUGCUGCAUGGUUGUCGUCAGCUCGUGCCGUGAGGUGUCGGCUUAAGUGCCAUAACGAGCGCAACCCUUGUUGUCAGUUACUAACAGGUUCCGCUGAGGACUCUGACAAGACUGCCAUCGUAAGAUGUGAGGAAGGUGGGGAUGACGUCAAAUCAGCACGGCCCUUACGUCCGGGGCUACACACGUGUUACAAUGGGGGGUACAGAGGGCCGCUACCACGCGAGUGGAUGCCAAUCCCCAAAACCUCUCUCAGUUCGGACUGGAGUCUGCAACCCGACUCCACGAAGCUGGAUUCGCUAGUAAUCGCGCAUCAGCCACGGCGCGGUGAAUACGUUCCCGGGCCUUGUACACACCGCCCGUCAAGCCAUGGGAGCCGGGGGUACCUGAAGUGCGUAACCGCGAGGAGCGCCCUAGGGUAAAACUGGUGACUGGGGCUAAGA
rnacentral:rRNA from 1 species